UUAAACAAAUCACUACUGUAUUCUCCUUUCCUAACUUUCUACCUAUAACAGUGGCUGCACACGUUCCCAUUAUCAAUUAUUUAAUAUUGUAAAAAUUUAGCUACUUUUGAUACAUCGAAACAAGAUUUCUGAUAGAAAAGUUUACACAACAAAUCUAGGGUUAUUUUGUAAUUAAAAUAGUCCGAGGGAGUGAUGGCUUGGGUCUCUAGGUACAUCCAAAAUUCAUUUUUUUCCCUUUUACCUAAACAAGGAAAAUAUAAAUGCACACCAUAUUUUUUCGUCAAACUGGUUUGAACUCGGAAUCCCUAGGAUGAUAAUAGGCAUAAAUAACCAUUGAUCACGAUAAAUAUGAUUUAAGAAGGACAAUAUAGAGUUAUUUAACAUGACAUAAUAUCCGCAUAAUAUUAGAACUUCAAAAAGAUAUAAUUUCGAAACUUAGUCAGUCCGCUUAAUUCUGACUUCACCAUCGUUCU